AUGCAGAUCACCUGGGGAUCUUGUGAAAAUGCAGAUUUUCAUUCAGCUGGUCUGAAGAGGUGCCUGAGAAUCUGUCCUUCUAGCAAGCUGCCAGGUAGGCUUUUG
rnacentral:miRNA from 1 species